AGGAAAACAUUAUAAAAUUGAUGUAGAUUUCAAAAUAGCAAUUAUUGUUUUGGUUUGAAAAACUUAAAGCAAGUUUGUGGGAGUAGGAGUGAACGACGUAUCGGUAAAUUUUGAUUUGAUUUUUUAUUCGUUUUGAUUUUAAUCGAAAAUCUAAAUAUUUCUAAUUCCAUAAAACAAAACAAAUAAUAAUAUGUAAUGUUUUUGUGAAAUGCUUCUGGUAAUCAUAAAUUGGUUUACCAUUUUGAUCUUGACCAAACAUGUCAAAACCAAACAAAACUUUUUUACUAAAUAUAGCUAGCAUUAAUAUUAUUUAACAAAAAUAUGAUUAGUUCAAGUAAACAUAAUAAAAUAUGUAUAAUAAGUAUCUUUGACACUAAAAAUAAUAUAUUAUUUUAAACACAUAAUGAAUAAAAGAAAUUGUACGGUAAUCAACUAAUCAUAUUAUAUUUUCUAUAAAUAUUAUUACAUCAGCUGAGAAAAUUAAUUUGAAGGGUUUAUUUUAAAAAAUUUCUGACUUUACAAUUUGAAAAAGAGUAAAAUUUCUGUCAAUACUUUUUGACUUUCUACAAUUUUCUGGCAUACGUGUGCUUGAUGCCAUAUAAAAACAUUAUAGAGGGAGGAGCUAGCUUUUAAACACACGAGUUUAAUUUGGUUGGAAGGUAUUGUUAAAGAAAAAAUAAAGAGCAUAUAUUAUUAGAAAUUGUAAUGUUAGUUUUUGUAUAAAGAUGAAAAAUAUUCGAUCUUCGGGGAAAAAAUAGCUUAAAUCAAAUAUCGUUAGAAUAAGUGUGUGGAGAAGGGCGAGGUGUAGAUUUUAAUUUUUAAACGCACGUGUUUAAUUUGUUUGGGAUAAGAUCGAUUAGUAGGUUUUGGGUGUGACUAGACUACACAUGGGUGUGUGAUUGUGUGCUAAUGCUUAAUGUAUAAUUAUUCUAAAAAUCUAUCUUUUUUUUUUUGAACACCUUUUUUUUUAACACCCUUCUAAAAAUCUAUCUACCCUACAAAAACAAGUUGAAAGAAGUUUUUUUUUAGAUAAAAUGUUUAAAUUUAUCACCAAAUUUUAUUUUUGACAAAGUUACAAAAGAUGAUUCUUAACUUUUAGACUAUAAAAAUCUCUCUUCGUUCGCCAUAGAUGUUCCAAAAGCGUUAAGCUUUGGCUAAUAUAUACGGUGUUGCUCUUUCUUUCUCACAGACAUCCAAGUCUAUUAUGCGUAUGUUGGUGGUGUGAUUCAAGGCGCAGGGAUUUUAACUCCUUCAACACGAAGUUUUAACUUUGCAUCCUUACAUUACCUCAACUGGGAACAAAGGCCUUGUUCUGUGCUUAGAUAUACUGGGAACUUCAAUGUGGGAGGUUAUGGUCAAAGACUUUUUUGGCAAGGCCUAGAAAAAGCUGUCUGUUUUUUUUCACUGGAAUAGUUCUCGGUGCAGGUAUGUAAAUUAAAAAAUAGAUUCACCACUCAUUUCCACUUAGGUGAGUGAGGCCAUCAAACCUAACUGGCUCCUACUUGAAUCAUCCAACAUUUAUGCAAACAAUCCUAGAUAUGAAAAACUACAGUUAAAUUGCACCUUUA